GCCGGGCACAGUGGCACGUGCCUGUAGUCCCAGCUACUCGGAGGCUGAGGUGGGAAGACCGCUUGAGCCCAGGAGUUCUGGGCUGUAGCGCAAAUAUGCCGAUUGGGUGUCCGCACUAAGUUCGGCAUCAAUAUGGUGACCUCCCAGGAGCGAGGGAACACCAGGUUGUCUAAGGAGGGUUGAAUCAGCUCAGGUCGGAAACGGAGCAGGUCAAAACUCCCAUGCUGACCAGUAGUAGGUUUGCCCCUGUGAAUAGCCACUGCACUCUAGCCUGGGCAACAAAGAGAGACCCUGUCUCU
rnacentral:SRP_RNA from 1 species